CCUUCGAUAGCUCAGUUGGUAGAGCGGUGGACUGUAGAAAGUUAAGGAGGGGGGAUCAUAUAUGUGAGUUGUUGUCCAAAAUGCGACCAACUUACAGAGACCUCUCCAACCCGUAUAGAAAUCCAUAGGUCACUGGUUCAAAUCCGGUUCGAAGGA
rnacentral:tRNA from 1 species